GUAAUUAAGAGUGCAGUCUCAGAAACCAGAGUCCGGGUUCAAAUCAUGCCUUUACCAUUGUAGCAGGUUAAAGAUGGCCACAAAUUUUCUGAUACCCCCGGAGAGAUGAGGGCUAUGCCCCUUCCUCUGAAUCUGAGAUGACUAUGUGACAACUCUCACCAAGGAAUAUAAAAGUGACCCUGUCUCAGUUUCUGGGCCAGGCCUUGGAAAUGGAUGGCUUCUACCUCUUGUGUCUCAGAGCCUUGAACCACCAUGUAAAAUUCAACUACAGUGCUGCAGAGACCACAUGGAGAGACCCGAGACUGCAGGCAAGGAGAUAGGAGGCCAGCUGAUCCCAGUCUUACAGACUUCUCAUCAAAGCAUAUUUUCAGAAACACAUCUUGUGUGUGAAACACUUUCCUGAAAAAAAAAAAAAAGGCUCCUUGGAAGGAGGAACUGCUGGGUUGAGCCCUGGAGGAGUGGAAUAGGGGAGAAUGUGAGGGGAGCAGAAAAGGAAGUAGGAAGAUGGUCAGCCUGAUGCGGCAGGAAGGACAGCACUGGGCACAUUGGCAGAUACAUCAUGGGUGCUUCAAACACACUCAUCAUCAGACUUCCGCCAAGAUGGAGACAUAGGUGGAGGAACCACCUUGCCUCUGUGCACAACCAAAUCUAAGAACAACUAUUUUUAACAACAAUCACAACCAAGCCACAUGGAAAAUCGACAAUACGGAGUCCAAAGACAACUAAAUGCUCAGCUAAACCGGUAAGAGGAGUGAAGCCAGCAGUGGAGCAGGUUAUCAAGAAAAAAUCCCCGGGUGGUACGCGGUGCACAAGCAGCCGAAGGUGCUGAUCACGAGCUAGCUACGGGAGCGCACAGGGAAGAGGCGCGCGGGCUGCCUGUGGUCAGUCGGUCAUGCAUCUGCAUGCGGAGAAACCAGUGAGAAGGGAAGCCUGCGCGGGGCAGUAGGCUCGCACAAUUCCGAUCGGAUAAACAAGCCCGGGGUGAGUGGUGUGACUGGACGGGCUGGGCUAGCGGAGAGGACCGCCAUUGCUCCCUCUCUGACCACGCCCCCACACACAGCGUCACAAACCAGCGACCUGGGUAGCCCCGUCCUGGUAAACAACUAAGGCUUGGCUCCGCUUACUUAACAGCACAAAUAGACCAAAAAUGGCUAUAAGACAACUCAGAGCCCCAGAACCGAUAGAUCUAAGUGAUGAAGAAAUAGCCAGUCUUUCAGAUGCACAGUUCAAAACACUGGUUAUCAGGAUCCUUACAGAACUGGUUGAUUUUAGUCACAAAUUAGAGAAACAUAUGGAAGCUAAACUAAUUGAAAUGAAUGGUAAUACAAAGGAAACCAAUAGUAAUGGAAAGAAAAUUGGGACUCAAAUCAAGGGAGUGGACCAAAAGGAAGAAAAAAUGAUCAAACAGAAAAGAAUGAAGAAAUA